UGCAAAUGUCCAAUUAAAGCAUCCACGUCUGUCCUCACCACUCUUGUUAGAGCCAACUGUGAACAAAGGAGGUGGAGGUCCCGCAUAACAAAGCCUGAUUUCUCUCCCAAGGAGCAGAAAGUUGGGGCAUUAGCUCGUGGUUUCUGCAGAAGCUACGAGUGCAGCUGGCACUCAACACGGAGACAAGAGGGAGGAAAAGGGGGAACACGAGUUCUCUCAAAUACACCUGCUGCCACAAAUGCCAGUAAAUGUCACCUGUCAUUUCCCGGCUCGACAACACGGACGCGGCCGUAUGGAACACCUUUCUUCUGGGAGUAGAGGCCAUGCGCAUGCUGCAUGUGUGUGUGUGUGUGUGAGAUUGGACUCUCACACCUCCUCCUCCCUGCUGAGUAAAUGCGUCUGCGAGAGACACAGAAGGUCUGAGGUGGAGGAGGAGGAGGAGGAGGACCGAGGCUACAAAAGAGAGGCUGUUACUCCCUCUGGUGGCUCACCGCCUGCACAGGUCAGUCCAGAGAACACGGCGUAAAAUGCACCUGAGUACACAAUCCGUCGACUCGAGCGGCUUCCACUCUGGUUUUUGGUCACAACUGAUCCAGCAGUUUCUGUAGAAUACUGUGAGACGGUGCAAGUGAAAGCUCUGACGCACCAGUAAGUGUAAACGGUCCAAUACUAAAUGUAGGAAAUACUGCUUAAACUGACUCAUUUAAUAAUCAAUUGAGAGAAGUGUUUUAAGAUUUGCAGCUUCGAUGAGAGUAAGACCAAUAGUGCAGAUUAUAUUACUCUAAUGUAACUCAUAAUUGAUCAACCGUCGCCUGCAGGCGGCAGUAGGUGGUAAAAGAAAGUCAGCCACACCAGAACAUACAUGAAUAGAAAACCUUUUAUUAAGGAGGAACGGGAUGAUUUGUUUCCCUUUGUUCUUUACAUUAUGUGCUAUACAAUGAAGAGGACACACGCGGCACGGGUGCUGACCCAGGUUCAGUUCAGGGUUGCGCCUCAGGUUCUGGUCUGGAUCCUUCUUCUCAUCUGUUGUACGACAUUGAGCUCAAUCUUUUUUGUCCUCGCUGACCCAGGACCAGCGCUCACAGCUGUUUAUAUGAUUAUAUAACUAGGUGAUUGAAAUGCUACUUGACUUUUCAAUGCAACAGCAAAAAGCAAAAGACAAAUAUGUCGAAUUAAUCAUUUUUAAAAAACAAUGAGUUUGGGAAGCUUAUCCAAUAUAUAUGAACACAGCCAACAACACUGACUUUCCUCUUUACAAUGUCAGGAUAUACUUAUUUUCAUAAAAUAAAUUGCCUGAGUUGAAAUGUGUAACCAUUAACUUCUUAUGGACUUUCAUUUGAGGAUAUUUACAUAUUUUAAAAAAGGAACCAGAGCACGUACGGAGUUCCUAUUGUAGAUGUAAUGAGAACAUUGAGGUGUUUGUGGUUGCUGCGAUACAAAAUCCUCUGUGAUUGUGAUUGGA